rnacentral:rRNA from 1 species
UACGGAGGAUGCGAGCGUUAUCCGGAUUCAUUGGGUUUAAAGGGUGCGCAGGCGGGCCUUUAAGUCAGCGGUAAAAAUUCGGGGCUCAACCCCGUCCGGCCGUUGAAACUGGGGGUCUUGAGUGGGCGAGAAGAAGGCGGAAUGCGUGGUGUAGCGGUGAAAUGCAUAGAUAUCACGCAGAACCCCGAUUGCGAAGGCAGCCUUCCGGCGCCCUACUGACGCUGAGGCACGAAAGUGCGGGGAUCGAACAGG